GUCUUUAUGUUCCCGCUGAUCACCUCCUUGGGAGGCGGCAGUGGUGCUGCGAGUGGGGAAAGGCACGGACAGCUGAGUCCUGGGGAACGGGGUCCAGAGAGCGGAAGCAGAGGAGAACGAGACUUCCGGUGCUCCCGCCGCGCUAGAGUGACGGGCCGCGGCGCCGCAGCGCCCCCUGCGGAAGGCGGUGGGAACGCCGGGUGAGCGCGCCACGGGCCGCUGUGACAGGUUACUUGUCGGGGACCGCAGACGCCUCGCGUCCGAGCCAUCUCACCUUGCCAUCACACCUGAACUUGCCCGUGAUGACCUUGGGAUAACCCCACGCUCCUGCGCAUGCGUGCCAGGAAGACCCAGGAAGACCGAUUACGCAUGCGUGAACUGCUGCCCCGCCCACCCAAGUCCCAGAGCCCGUCAAUCACAGCCCCUCACCACCUCCCCGUACUGGGACAGAACGCGGGGCCUUCGGGGCGACUUCCAUUCCAGCCCUUGCUAUGAAAUAUUUGAGACGGUUUCCGUGAAUUGCACAGUUGCAUUGGCUGGAUAUGGACUUGUGAUCUCCGGCCUCAGCCUCCCCAGUGCUGGGAUCACAGGUGUGCGCCUCACACCUGACUUAAAGCUGCAAUUUUAAAUUUU